ACUGUGAUUACAUAGUUUAAAGGAGAAAAGAAGAAGGCAACCCCUCAGUCUUUCAUUCUCACUUGCGACAACCCUAAUUUCUAAUGGCAGCGCCAGCCCCUCCGAUUGCAAUGCCAACCUCGGCAAGGAUUCAUCCACCCAUGAUCACUCCUCCGUUCGCGUGGGGGUGACAACACAGGCCUUGGUAAACCCCGCCAACAUUGAGAUGUACACGAGCUUCUCCGGCCACAAUCACUCCUCUGACCCCGUAAGCGCGUAAGCUCUAAAAUGACACCAUCUUUUCCUUUGAGGAAUUUCAUGCAACACCUGGUGAAUGCGAGAGAGAGACGGAGAUAUCAAGCUAAGCUUUAGAACAAAGCCAAAGAGAGAGAGAGAGAAAUUUCCCCUUUGUUCUCUCUGCUCCCUACCGAAGCUUCGUUCAUUAACGCCGUCUCAUUGUUAAUUUGGAAUUUGGCGCCGGAUUUUGAGUCUGAAGCUAUUCUUGAUCGGGAGUUAUCAAGGAUGGGCGCUGAUUGUGGAGUAUACAAUUGGUGGAUUAGCUGUUGCACGGGCCGUAACUCCAAACUUGUCGGUUGUAGGUGACAAAACCCUAGAAAAGCUCUCAGCUCUUAUGCUUCGCGAUCGAGGAAGAGAUUUCCAUUGAGUUGGUGGGGGCGAUGGUGGCGCAUAUACAGGGUCUCUCAGGGAGGUACGGCGGUGGUGACACACCUUUGUUCACUUCUGAAGCAAUCGGAGGACUACCUCACCUCACAGGGUUCUCGUCUUGCCCUCUUCUUGGACCAGCUCGACCCCUCCAAGCAUUCUCUCGGUUACCUCUUUCUUCUACAAGUAAUCCAUGGAGGAAUUUUCAUUGAUUAAUCAUAUCAACAGACAAGAGAGUUAUUGUGAUUGAUUUACUUUCACUCUCAUUUUUGCUUGCCGUUGUUAAGCUUGCAGAGGAUAGGCAUAUUGGCAGACUAAAUUGAAUGAACAAGUGAGUUUUUUUUUUCUUUUUUUGUGUUAUUAAUUUUAUUCAGUGAUAUACUUAUGUUUGGUCUCGUGAGUUUUUUUUUUUUAAUUUUAUUACUGUCAUAAUAUCAUUCCUUAGAUGAAAGGAAUGCUAAAAUGAAUCUUUUUAGACCAUUAUGUCAUUCCAUAUAGUCAUGCUAUCUUGUUUCAAAAAGUAAAAUCAAACCACAUACUAAGUACAAAUAUAUUCCUUUUUUUGUUUUUUUUUUUAAAAGUGCGUUGGUUUUUUAUGUAAAUAGAUAUUUGUUUGGAAUUUCUUCUGAAUUAUGAUCUGUCAAUUACUAUAUCCCAUGAUUAUGUGUAAUGACAACGGAUUUUAUUUUGUUUUAUUUUUUUUGUAAACAGUUGAAAUCAAUGAAUAUCAUAAAUAAAGAUUGGAUGGCUCUUCCGAGAGCUAGUCCGACAUAUAUUAGCGGAGUUGAUAGUUUUUUAGAUUUGGCAUUUCAAAAGACCGCUCAAGGACAAGAAAUCCUUUGCCCUUGUAAAUUGUUUAAACCAUAAUUGGUAUCAUAGAGUAACGGUUAAAGAUCACUUGAUAGUCUAUGGUUUCGUAGAAGGCUAUACUGAGUGGGUCUUCCAUGGAGAAGGUUUGUCAAUGUAUUCGCAAGAUCUUCCAUCGCAUUAUUGGAAUUCGACCAAUGCAAAGGUAUAACAAUUAUUUAUUUUUAAAUGAUUUUAUGAUGUCAAAACAACAUUCUCUGAACUGAGCUAGCUAAUAAUAAAUGGAAAUUUUUAUGCAAAGCAUCACAAAAACAAAUGCUAAUGAUAGAAAGAGCUAGAGGAAUAUGCGUACAGUAAGCAAAAAGAAUUUCACUAGUAAAAGAAAACAAAUGGUGAGAAUAUAUUUGUGUUUUUAUUAAUUUCCAAUUGAUAUUUUGAAUUUGUUUUGGAUAACAUGACAAUACAAUACCUAUAAUGAUUGAUAUAAUUAAUAAAUUUCCUUGAUUUUUUGAAAAUAUUUCUAAUUAUGUCAUGUGUAGUGCUACAUUUAAUUAUUUUUUAGGCAUAUAUCAAGCAAGCCUUUAUUAAUAAAAAUUGUUUCUUGCUUUUGUGGAUUGAAAAUAGCAAGAUGCAAAUGAAAACAAUCAGCCUCCAACCAAUUGUGCAUUUUUUAUUGAAACAAGGAAAAGACAACCAAACAAGACUUACAAGGAGUUUUGUGAUGAUAGUAGUAAUAGAUCUUUCAAAUGCAAGCUGUCCAAUCACAACAAAAUAGUGAAAACAAAUCAGAUGAUGCCUUUUCUAUGAUAAUGGGAGGGACACAACCAGGUCGUGUUAUGUUGUAUGGGAGGAGUAUCACACCAACUAAUUUAAAGGGAAUUAGUGGUGGCUCUUCUAUAAAAGUUUCUGAAAACUUUAUUGAAGGGAUAAAAGAGCAGAUAAGAAAAGAAGUAAGAAAAGAAUUGGAAGAGCUGCUAAUAGCAUACAAGUCAUCUAUGCAACAAGAAUUUCGUUUUAUGAUAUCACUACUCCAAGCAUUGCUUCCAGGAAUGAAUGUUAACCAAGUUCUUGGAUCUAAUUUGAACUGGGGUUCUCCUAGGGAUGCUAAUAGUGCACCAAGUCAAGCAAUAUGUGCACAAAAUACGCAUUCCUCUGCUAGUAGCCAUGUAUCUCUGGUAUCUUUUUAUAAGUUUCAUUUUAGUUGAUGCCAUUAAUUAGAAAGUUCAUUUUUAAUAUCAUUGCAUUUUGACGAAGCUUAUUAUCAUGUUGAAUAAGAUAAAUUGUAUAUGUUGUAGCGAAUUUUUUACUUAUUAUUUUACUAAUUCAUUUUUAAAAA